rnacentral:rRNA from 1 species
UACGUAGGUGGCAAGCGUUGUCCGGAUUUAUUGGGCUUAAAGGGUGCGUAGGCGGCCUUGUAAGUCAGCGGUGAAAUAUCCCGGCUUAACCGGGAGGGUGGCAUUGAUACUGCAGGGCUUGAGUAAAGUUGAGGUUGGCGGAAUUGACGGUGUAGCGGUGAAAUGCUUAGAUAUCGUCAAGAACACCGAUAGUGAAGACAGCUAACUAAGCUUUAACUGACGCUGAGGCACGAAAGUGUGGGGAGCAAACAGG